rnacentral:rRNA from 1 species
AGAGUUUGAUUCUGGCUCAGGAUGAACGCUGGCGGCGUGCCUAAUACAUGCAAGCCGAACGCACAGCGAAAGGUGCUUGCACCUUUCAAGUGAGUGGCGAACGGGUGAGUAACACGUGGAUAACCUACCUCAAGGUUGGGGAUAACAUUUGGAAACAGAUGCUAAUACCGAAUAAAACUUCGUAUCGCAUGAUACAAGGUUAAAAGGCGCUACGGCGUCACCUAGAGAUGGAUCCGCGGUGCAUUAGUUAGUCGGUGGGGUAAAGGCCUACCAAGACAAUGAUGCAUAGCCGAGUUGAGAGACUGAUCGGCCACAUUGGGACUGAGACACGGCCCAAACUCCUACGGGAGGCUGCAGUAGGGAAUCUUCCACAAUGGGCGAAAGCCUGAUGGAGCAACGCCGCGUGUGUGAUGAAGGCUUUCGGGUCGUAAAGCACUGUUGUAUGGGAAGAACAGCUAGAGUAGGGAAUGACUUUAGUUUGACGGUACCAUACCAGAAAGGGACGGCUAAAUACGUGCCAGCAGCCGCGGUAAUACGUAUGUCCCGAGCGUUAUCCGGAUUUAUUGGGCGUAAAGCGAGCGCAGACGGUUGAUUAAGUCUGAUGUGAAAGCCCGGAGCUCAACUCCGGAAAGGCAUUGGAAACUGGUCAACUUGAGUGCAGUAGAGGUAAGUGGAACUCCAUGUGUAGCGGUGGAAUGCGUAGAUAUAUGGAAGAACACCAGCGGCGAAGGCGGCUUACUGGACUGUAACUGACGUUGAGGCUCGAAAGUGUGGGUAGCAAACAGGAUUAGAUACCCUGGUGGUCCACACCGUAAACGAUGAA